UCAGGCCUAACACAUGCAAGUCGAGCGGUAGCAGGAAGUGCUUGCACUUCGCUGACGAGCGGCGGACGGGUGCGUAACACAUAGGAAUCUGCCUGGUAGUGGGGGAUAGCCCGGAGAAAUCCGGAUUAAUACCGCAUACGCCCUACGGGGGAAAGGAGGGGACUCUUCGGAGCCUUUCGCUAUCAGAUGAGCCUGCGUCGGAUUAGCUUGUUGGUGGGGUAAAGGCCUACCAAGGCGACGAUCCGUAGCUGGUCUGAGAGGAUGAUCAGCCACACUGGGACUGAGACACGGCCCAGACUCCUACGGGAGGCAGCAGUGGGGAAUAUUGCACAAUGGGCGAAAGCCUGAUGCAGCCAUGCCGCGUGUGUGAAGAAGGCCCUAGGGUUGUAAAGCACUUUCAGUGGGAGGAAAGGUUGAAGGUUAAUACCCUUCAGCUGUGACGUUACCCACAGAAGAAGCACCGGCUAACUCCGUGCCAGCAGCCGCGGUAAUACGGAGGGUGCGAGCGUUAAUCGGAAUUACUGGGCGUAAAGCGUGCGUAGGCGGCCACCUAAGUUGGAUGUGAAAGCCCCGGGCUCAACCUGGGAACUGCAUCCAAAACUGGGUGGCUAGAGUACGGGAGAGGAGUGUGGAAUUUCCUGUGUAGCGGUGAAAUGCGUAGAUAUAGGAAGGAACACCAGUGGCGAAGGCGACACUCUGG
rnacentral:rRNA from 1 species